ACGUUCAAUGGUAACUCUUGUUAUUGUCCUGUGUGGUAACUGUAUCCAUUCAGUUCCAAAACCCGUGGACUGCUCGACAUAGCGGUUCAUCACGGUGGGGUGCCUGUCUCAUCCGAAUCCCGUCAGGUUAGCUCGAUUGGUUGGUUCUCCGAGCCGAUCGGUCCAGUUGUACCGGGGUGAUGAGGUAGUGUGUGCACUACGCGCACGCAAGGCGUAAGAUGGCACGGAUUGAGGUCCUGCUCGCCCCGCCCUUGUUUGCUUGUUUUACAUUUUGUCGCAUAGGGCAUGCAUGUCCCUUCCAGGGGUGCAUGUUCGCCGCACUGUCUGUGUAGGUGCUUGGCAUUGACUUCGGUUGAUCCAGGUUGCCUUGCAGGCCGGUACCAUACCUCGUUGACUCUUUUCCCUUGCCAGGGUGGGUUCGGGGUUAAAUGGGACCGUAAAAAGACAGAUAGCUUGUCUUCUGUCGACUGUACAACUUUAUGCGGUGGAUCACUCGGCUCGUGUGUCGAUGAAGAACGCAGCCAACUGUGUGAACUAAUGUGAAUCGCAGACUGCUAUGAACAUUGACCUUUUGAACGCAUAUUGCGGUCAUAGGCUUGCCUAUGGCCACGUCUGUCCGAGAGUCGGCUUAUAAACUAUCACGAUGCGUUACUAGUCGUGGCUUGAGGGGCUGCCAGCUGACACUAGAAGCUGAGCGUACUGGUCAUCUAUUGCUACUACUUUCGGGUGGUGGUAGUGGUUGGGUUAGCUCGGCGUCAGACUACAAUGGCUCUCUUUCAAUGUGGCUUUGAUAGCACUGUCGAUUUUGCUGUUAUACUACCUUGUUGUUUGUGCUGCUGGUGGUGACGUGCAAGACUGCUGAUGGCUUGGUGCCUGCCGCCGCUUUUCUCUUCUUCACGAGGAGGCUGGGUGGAAUGGCGGGUACCAUUGUGGGCCGUGGCUCAAUGUUAUGUAUGAGACACGCCGGUUUGCUGUUCAGUUGUCUUUGUGUGAGUACGUCGUCGCUGUCUAGGGCAAGGUUUGUAGGCAUUAUCACCGAGCAACUCUUUCGGGUGUUGUUUAAGGGAAGUAUUCAUUUUAAUCCCUGACCUCGGAUCAGACGUGACUACCCGCUGAACUUAAGCAUAUCACUAAGCGGAGGAAAAGAAACUAACCAGGAUUCCCCUAGUAACGGCGAGUGAAGAGGGAGAAGCCCAGCACCGAAGCCUGCGGUAGUUUUACUGCUAGGCAAUGUGGUGUUUGGGUCGGCUCGUGGGAUUGCCACUCCAUUCGAAGUCCAGCAUUGAGUAUGGUACCCUGGAUUUGGCCCAUAGAGGGUGAAAGGCCCGUGCGAAUGGAUGUUUCAGACAUGAAAGGCGAUUCACCAGGCCGGCCUAGAGUCGG
rnacentral:rRNA from 1 species